rnacentral:rRNA from 1 species
UACAGAGGCCCCAAGCGUUAGGCGGAAUCACUGGGCUUAAAGCGUGUGUAGGUGGAUGGGUAAGUACCUUGUGAAAUCCCACAGCUUAACUGUGGAACUGCUGGGUAUACUGCCUGUCUUGAGUCACUCAGGGGCGAGCGGAACAGAUGGUGGAGCGGUGAAAUGCGUAGAUAUCAUCUGGAACGCCAAUGGUGAAGACAGCUCGCUGGGGGUGUACUGACACUGAGACACGAAAGCCAGGGGAGCGAACGGG